GACGAACGCUGGCGGCGUGCUUAACACAUGCAAGUCGAGCGGAAAGGCCCUUCGGGGUACUCGAGCGGCGAACGGGUGAGUAACACGUGAGUAACCUGCCCCAGACUUUGGGAUAACUCUCGGAAACGGGGGCUAAUACCGGAUACGACACAGCUUCGCAUGGGGUCUGUGUGGAAAGUUUUUCGGUUUGGGAUGGGCUCGCGGCCUAUCAGCUUGUUGGUGGGGUGAUGGCCUACCAAGGCGACGACGGGUAGCCGGCCUGAGAGGGCGACCGGCCACACUGGGACUGAGACACGGCCCAGACUCCUACGGGAGGCAGCAGUGGGGAAUAUUGCACAAUGGGCGGAAGCCUGAUGCAGCGACGCCGCGUGAGGGAUGACGGCCUUCGGGUUGUAAACCUCUUUCAGCAGGGACGAAGCGUAAGUGACGGUACCUGCAGAAGAAGCGCCGGCCAACUACGUG
rnacentral:rRNA from 1 species